GCCUUUGUGGUGAUGUUGGUAGCACGUCCAACCAUCGAUGGGUAGGGAUGGCCUCACGGCUUCUCUUACAUAGCCCAGCUUGUAUCCUUGAGUUAGCGCUCCUGGUGAUUGGAAGACCUGCGUUCGAACCGCAGCGAGGGCA